UGCCUUCUACUUUAUUGCAUUUAACAUAGUUUGUAGCUUUGAAUUGAUUGAAUUCACUUGUUGUUUUCUAAAUCUCUCAAUGCUUUAAAUGAUUUAUUUAUCGUAAAUUUUUGUUAAAAAGUGUUCUCCUGUUUUCUACUAAUAAUGAAUGUUGUCUCUGUUUUCUUUUAUAGAUUUCAUCCCGUGUUUGGUGUUUCUAUGAGCUGCUGCUUCUAAAUUAAAUGAAAGUCGACAAGGGGACUAUUGAAUGAAUUUUUGGCAAAGUGUGGAAGGAACUGGACAGAGAUAAGGGAAAGAAGAGGGUGGGAAUGCCACGAAAAAACCAACAGCUGUAAUUUUGCGGGACUCUGAUAUUCUGUUGAUACAUGGCCGUUUUAUCGGCGAUGUUGCACCAUUGUAUGGAGAAAGGUCACAUUUUUAAUCCUUCUUGUGAGACUGAUUUCUAAUUAUGAAUAAAUGAGUGAAUGGUUCAAAA